GACGAACGCUGGCGGCGUGCUUAACACAUGCAAGUCGAACGGAAAGGCCCUGCUUUUGUGGGGUGCUCGAGUGGCGAACGGGUGAGUAACACGUGAGUAACCUGCCCUUGAGUUUGGGAUAACUUCAGGAAACUGGGGAUAAUACCGGAUAGGAGCUCCUGCUGCAUGGUGGGGGUUGGAAAGUUUCGGCGGAUGGGGAUGGACUCGCGGCUUAUCAGCUUGUUGGUGGGGUAGUGGCUUACCACGGCUUUGACGGGUAGGCGGCCUGGGAGGGGGGACGGCGCCAUGGCGACUGAGAGACGGCCCAGACUCCUACGGUAGGCAGUAGUGGGGAUCAUUGCACAAUGGGGCGACGCCUGAUGCGGCAACGCCCCGUGCGUGAUGACCGCCUUCGGGUUGUAAACCGCUUUCGCCUGUGACGAAGCGGUAGUGACGGUAAUGGGUAAAGAAGCACCGGCUAACUACGUG
rnacentral:rRNA from 1 species